GACGAACGCUGGCGGCGUGCCUAACACAUGCAAGUCGAGCGGGAACCUCAGGAGGGGUAACCCACCUGAGGGGAGAGCGGCGAACGGGUGAGUAACACGUGGGCAACCUGCCCCGGACACCGGGAUAACCCAGGGAAACCUGAGCUAAUACCGGAUACUCCGGCGCGAUCGCAUGGUCGCUCCGGGAAAGCUCCGACGGUCCGGGAUGGGCCCGCGGCCUAUCAGCUUGUUGGCGAGGUAACGGCUCACCAAGGCUUCGACGGGUAGCUGGUCUGAGAGGACGGACAGCCACACUGGGACUGAGACACGGCCCAGACUCCUACGGGAGGCAGCAGUGGGGAAUAUUGCGCUAAUGCGCGAAAGCGUGACGCAGCGACGCCGCGUGGGGA
rnacentral:rRNA from 1 species